rnacentral:rRNA from 1 species
GUCGAGGGGCAGCGGGGUAGUGCUUGCACUACUGCCGGCGACCGGCGCACGGGUGAGUAACACGUAUGGAACCUGCCCGCAGCAGGGGGAUAAGCGGAAGAAAUUCCGUCUAAUACCGCGUAACAACGUUGGGAGGCAUCUCCCGAUGUUUAAAGAUUUAUCGGCUGCGGAUGGCCAUGCGGCGCAUUACCUAGUCGGCGGGGUAACGGCCCACCGAGGCGACGAUGCGUAUGGGUUCUGAGAGGAAGGUCCCCCACACUGGUACUGAGACACGGACCAGACUCCUACGGGAGGCAGCAGUGAGGAAUAUUGGUCAAUGGCCGAGAGGCUGAACCAGCCAAGUCGCGUGAGGGAAGACGGCCCUACGGGUUGUAAACCUCUUUUGUCGGGGAGCAAAGCGAACCACGUGUGGUUCAUUGAGAGUACCCGAAGAAAAAGCAUCGGCUAACUCCGUGCCAGCAGCCGCGGUAAUACGGAGGAUGCGAGCGUUAUCCGGAUUUAUUGGGUUUAAAGGGUGCGCAGGCGGAGGUGCAAGUCAGCGGUCAAAUUGCGGGGCUCAACCCCGUACUGCCGUUGAAACUGCAUCCCUUGAGUGCGCGAGAAGUAUGCGGAAUGCGUGGUGUAGCGGUGAAAUGCAUAGAUAUCACGCAGAACUCCGAUUGCGAAGGCAGCAUACCGGCG